GAUGAACGCUGGCGGCGUGCCUAAUACAUGCAAGUCGAGCGAACAGACGAGGAGCUUGCUCCUCUGACGUUAGCGGCGGACGGGUGAGUAACACGUGGAUAACCUACCUAUAAGACUGGGAUAACUUCGGGAAACCGGAGCUAAUACCGGAUAAUAUAUUGAACCGCAUGGUUCAAUAGUGAAAGACGGUUUUGCUGUCACUUAUAGAUGGAUCCGCGCUGCAUUAGCUAGUUGGUAAGGUAACGGCUUACCAAGGCAACGAUGCGUAGCCGACCUGAGAGGGUGAUCGGCCACACUGGAACUGAGACACGGUCCAGACACCUACGGGAGGCAGCAGUAGGGAAUCUUCCGCAAUGGGCGAAAGCCUGACGGAGCAACGCCGCGUGAGUGAUGAAGGUCUUCGGAUCGUAAAACUCUGUUAUUAGGGAAGAACAAAUGUGUAAGUAACUAUGCACGUCUUGACGGUACCUAAUCAGAAAGCCACGGCUAACUACGUG
rnacentral:rRNA from 1 species